CAGCAGCAGCAGCAGCGAGCACCACCAGCCCAUUCACCACCCGGCCCCGGGCCGCAGCACCUCCGCCGCCUCAGCCCGGGGAUCCCUCCGCCCAGGCCCAGGCCCAGGCCCACUCGCUCUUUUGCUCGGGAGCCCGCCGCGCGGUCCCGCCACCGCUGCCGCUGCCGCCGUGCGCGCGGGCGCCAUGCGCGUGGCCGCGCGGCCGCCGCUCGGGAGCUAGAGGAAGAGAGCUAGAGGAAGCGGGCCGAGAGCGGGGCGCGGGGGCGCCGGGCUCUCCCCCCUCCUCUCCGGCCCUGGCCGCGCCUCGGCCUGAGCCUGGGCCUGGGCCUGGACCGGGCCGGGCCGGGAAAAGGAGGCCCCACGGCGGCGCUCGGGCGGACUACUUGUCGUGUCGGUGCGGCGAAUUUAUUUCACUUUGCCUAAGGAACGGGGUGUGCUGCGGCCCCCAUUGCCUAGGGAAAAAACCCGGAUGUAAAGUGAGUGAAACUAAACUCGAGUGAAGUAGGGCAACGGCGGCGGCGGCGGCAGAGGAAGAGGCAGUGCGGGCCCUACCGCCCCGACCCGGCCCGGGGACCCCGCGCUCUGAGCAGCCCCAGGCCCGCAGGACCCACCGGCUGGGCCGGGCGGGGCACGGAGAGCGCCGCGCAUCCUACAGCGGGGCGCCUGGCUCCGCCCCCGGGCCCGUAACUGCCCUCGAGCCCCCUCGAGCGGGGGAGAGAAGAGGGGGCGGAGCCCUGCAGGCCGCGCCGAGGUUGGGGGGGUGGGGGGGUGAUUCUAGGGGAAUAGGUUAGUCGGUGCAGAUCUCCGCUGUGGACUGGGUUGGGGCGCAGGAACUCAGCCUGCCGGCUCGGAGCUGCUAUUUGACCCCGCGCGAGGUCAGCAUGCAGUCCCGGGCUUGGGAGCCCCAAAGCGGAAUCGCGCACAUGUCCACGCGAGUCCUGGGUCCUUCAGACCAGCCCUGAGGACUCUUUUUAAAGCUCAGUUCACCUCCAAGAGUCUCUCUCUCAAUCUUCUUGCACUUUCUUCCGCUCUCUCCUUUCCCUAGAGGCGCUUUGAGAUCAAUGCAACAUUGCAUUAUUCAAGUAUUUAUUUAUUCUUAGGUGGACUGUAAAAUUAGGUUUUCUUUCUUCUAGAUAGGAAGUUUUGAAAACUAAAAUUAAAACAUGAAUGAUUUUUAAAAGAUCUGGUCCUUGAGCACACCAGGCUUCAUAUGAAGAAAAAAAUCAUAGCAGGGAAAAUCACAAGAAAGGGGAAAAAGUAAUUUUUAAAGAUUCAGAAAAUGAAAAUCUCAAAUGAUUUAAGAAGUCAGGAUGAACUUAUUACCACGUUGUGAAACUAAACCCAUAAUGUGGUUAGGAUGAGUAAAGAUAGGACGAUACCAGCCUUUAUCGUGUAGAUAAUCCUCACUUAUUUAAGAAAUGAGGGACCUAACCACUGUAACCAUAACACCUUACUACUAAGGCUGUCAACAUUCAGGAGGAAGCCAGUCUCCUUGCCCUUCCUGGGAGGGAAACACAGAUUCCAAUAUCCCUGUGACAGUUUCAUUUUGAUAGGAAAGACUCAAGAAUUCAGGAUGGGCCAGGGUCCUGGUGCUGGGAAGGACCAUGAUGAGAAGCAACCCGUUCCAGUGCCCUCGCUUGUGAGGGAGAAAUUCAGACCAGCCAAAUUCUAGAAAAGGCUAUCUUAGAAUACUAUUGUGCUAUAAGAAAUAACAAGCAAAAUGACUUCAGAAAAAACCUGAAAAGGCUUAGAAGAACUGAAGCAGAGUAGAAUAUGCAGAACCAAUAAAGCAUUGGACACAACAACAACAGUAUUGUAUGGUGAAUGACUGUGAAUGACUUAGCUAUUCUCAGCAAUACAGUGAUCCAAGGCAACCAUAAAGGCCUCAUGAUAAAAAAAAAAAAAGCCAACUGCCUCCAGAGAAAGAACUGAUGAAGACUGAAUGUAAACUGAUUCAUACUAUAUUUCACUUAAUUCAUUUUUGUUGUUAUUCGAAUUUCCAUCCACAAAAGAACUAAUAUGGGAAAAUGUUUUACAUGAUUACACAUGUAAAAUCUGUGUCAGAUUGUUUGCCAGUUUGCCAGGGGAAAGGGGAAGAAGAAAAUAUGGAACUCAGAUUUUUUUUAAUGUUUAAAUUUGUUAUUAUAUAUAAUGGAGGAGAUUAAAUCUAUUUUUUUAAA